UACGUAGGGUGCGAGCGUUGUCCGGAAUUAUUGGGCGUAAAGAGCUCGUAGGUGGUUUGUUACGUCCGCUGUGAAAUCCUAGGGCUUAACCCUGGGCUUGCAGUGGAUACGGGCAGACUAGAGGUAGGUAGGGGAGAAUGGAAUUCCUGGUGUAGCGGUGAAAUGCGCAGAUAUCAGGAGGAACACCGGUGGCGAAGGCGCACAUCUGGCCCGAUACUGACGCUGAGGCGCGAAAGCUAGGGGAGCAAACGGG
rnacentral:rRNA from 1 species